UACGUAGGUGGCAAGCGUUGUCCGGAUUUACUGGGCGUAAAGAGCGCGCAGGCGGUCUUGUAAGUCGAAUGUGAAAGCCCCUGGCUCAACCAGGGAGGGUCAUUCGAUACUGCUUGACUCGAAGGCAGGAGAGGGAAGUGGAAUUCCGGGUGUAGUGGUGAAAUGCGUAGAUAUCCGGAGGAACACCAGUGGCGAAGGCGACUUUCUGGCCUGUUCUUGACGCUGAGGCGCGAAAGCUAGGGGAGCAAAC
rnacentral:rRNA from 1 species